rnacentral:piRNA from 1 species
UCCUAACGUUGAAGGUGGAUCCUGGU